rnacentral:rRNA from 1 species
UGGCGGACGGGUGAGUAACGCGUGGGUAACCUGCCCUGUACAGGGGGAUAACACUUAGAAAUAGGUGCUAAUACCGCAUAAGCGCACAGUAUCGCAUGAUACAGUGUGAAAAACUCCGGUGGUACAGGAUGGACCCGCGUCUGAUUAGCUGGUUGGCGGGGUAACGGCCCACCAAGGCGACGAUCAGUAGCCGGCCUGAGAGGGUGAACGGCCACAUUGGGACUGAGACACGGCCCAAACUCCUACGGGAGGCAGCAG